GUCUAUGGCCAUAUCACCCUGAACACACCCGAUCUUAUCUGAUCUUGGAAACUCAACAGGGUCGGGCCUGGUUAGUACUUGGAUGGGAAACGAAUAUACUUGAGUUGGAGGGAAGAAGGGGUAUGGUUGUUGUUGAUU
ensembl:rRNA 5S_rRNA 5S ribosomal RNA